UGGGGAAUAUUGGACAAUGGGCGAAAGCCUGAUCCAGCCAUGCCGCGUGUGUGAAGAAGGUCUUCGGAUUGUAAAGCACUUUAAGUUGGGAGGAAGGGCAGUAAGCGAAUACCUUGCUGUUUUGACGUUACCGACAGAAUAAGCACCGGCUAACUCUGUGCCAGCAGCCGCGGUAAUACAGAGGGUGCAAGCGUUAAUCGGAAUUACUGGGCGUAAAGCGCGCGUAGGUGGUUCGUUAAGUUGAAUGUGAAAGCCCCGGGCUCAACCUGGGAACUGCAUCCAAAACUGGCGAGCUAGAGUAGGGCAGAGGGUGGUAAAAUUUCCUGUGUAGCGGUGAAAUGCGUAGGUAUAGGAAGGAACACCAGUGGCGAAGGCGACCACCUGGGCUCAUACUGACACUGAGGUGCGAAAGCGUGGGGAGCAAACAGG
rnacentral:rRNA from 1 species